CUAGGAUCCUAAAAUUAGACUAUUGUUUG
rnacentral:tRNA from 1 species